GUGGGGAAUAUUGGGCAAUGGGGGAAACCCUGACCCAGCGACGCCGCGUGAGGGAAGAAGGCCUUAGGGUCGUAAACCUCUGUUGUGUGGGAAGAAGAGCGUGACGGUACCACACGAGGAAGUCCCGGCUAACUACGUGCCAGCAGCCGCGGUAAUACGUAGGGGACGAGCGUUGUCCGGAUUUACUGGGCGUAAAGGGCGCGUAGGCGGUCAUUUAAGUCAGCUGUGAAAUGGGUUGGCUUAACCGGAUCAUGCGGUUGAAACUGGAUGACUGGAGUGCUGGAGAGGCAAGUGGAAUUCCCAGUGUAGCGGUGAAAUGCGUAGAUAUUGGGAAGAACACCGGUGGCGAAGGCGACUUGCUGGCCAGCAACUGACGCUGAGGCGCGAAAGCCAGGGGAGCAAACGGGAUUAGAAACCCUGGUAGUCC
rnacentral:rRNA from 1 species